GAUGAACGCUGGCGGUCUGCUUAACACAUGCAGGUCGAACGGAAUCCUUCGGGAUUUAGUGGCGGACGGGUGAGUAACGCGUGAGAAUCUGCCUUCAGGUUCGGGACAACAGCUGGAAACGGCUGCUAAUACCGGAUGUGCCGAGCGGUGAAAGCUUUAGUGCCUGAAGAUGAGCUAGCGUCUGAUUAGGUAGUAGGAGUGGUAAUGGCACCCCUAGGCGACGAUCAGUAGCUGGUCUGAGAGGAUGAUCAGCCACACUGGGACUGAGACACGGCCCAGACUCCUACGGGAGGCAGCAGUGGGGAAUUUUCCGCAAUGGGCGCAAGCCUGACGGAGCAAGACCGCGUGAGGGAAGAAGGUCUGUGGAUUGUAAACCUCUUUUGAUGGGGAAGAAGACAGUGACGGUACCCAUCGAAUCAGCCUCGGCUAACUCCGUGCCAGCCGCCGCGGUAA
rnacentral:rRNA from 1 species